CAGCAGGCCUCAUUUUGAGCGUGUGGCUAUUCGUUGUAUCUGUACUUUGCUAGAUUCAGUUCCCCACUUCAACUAUCGUGAGAGCUUGUUAGCUGCUGUUAUUAAGAACAUAAGUUCUGCGGAUGAUGUUGUAAGAUCCUACAUACAUGAUCCGGGCUAUUCGAAGCAAUGCAGCUGACAAUGUGUAUUGUACACUCAUUGCUCAGAGUGCUGUUAAUGGAUCUAUGGCCGGGUACACAGGCUACACAAGUGGGCUUGUUAAUGGCAGACAAACUUAUAUUCCUUUCUAUUUGGUAUUAUAUAUUAUCUAUGAAGUGGAGCAUUCUGUAAGGAGGAUCUUCAUGCAACUGAAUAAAAGAAUCAUAACCGCUGACUGGUAAAAUAUUUCUCUUAGCCUACUUUGUGGUAAGGUGCUGGGGGAAGAAGUGUGUUGCUUGGGUAACUAACAGAAUGCAUUUUCUGUCCCAAAUUCUGUGCGUGUAUGUUUUGUUCUUGUCAAUUUCUAGCUGAUCAAGACUUACAAAGCGAGCAUUAUAUGACAUUUUUACAGGUUUUAAAUGUCCUGAAGCGUAUAAGUGAUGAAGACUGCAAGUUGUUGGGCUUGAAUCCUAAGUAUGCCCGUCCAGAUUGGAUGAAAUUGCAAUAGGAUGUCAUUGUGGUAUGAGCGUACUACAGAAAGAGUUGAAGAACUGUUCCAAUAGUCUCAUACCUUGUUAUUUUCUUUGAUUUCUUUGUUCUUAUAAUUUUUGGUGAGAGCAAAGUGUAGUUUGAGAUUGAAUUUUUAGUGAUUGUUUUUGCCAAAUCACAGAUUGUACAUACUAUUGCUC